GGAGACAUGGCUCAGUGGUUAAGAGCACUGACUGCUCUAGCAGAGGACUUGGGUUCAGUUCCCAGCAUCUACA
rnacentral:tRNA from 1 species